AAGCCCUUCAAAGCUCUGACUUUGAGAUGAUCUCACAUCUUGUAUAUUUCUCAAAUCUAGCAUCCUUAUUCCUGGGGCAGAUAUCACUGCCCUCUUAUUUCUUGCCUAGGUUCUCACCACAGCCUUUUUACAGCUCCCUCCCUCAAAUCUCUCCAUUCUUCACAUUGUAGUCAGAGUGAUCUCGAACUGCCGAUUUUGGGUGGAUCCCUUGCUUAAAACCCUCGAUGGCACACCACAACCCCCAGGACGAAUCCAAGCUUCUAAGCCUGGUAUUCCAGACUCUCCCAUUAUGUCUUGCACAUUCUGUGCUUUAGCAACAUUCUAUGCCCCGGCAAGAGGGGGCUGCUUACAAUCUCCUUCUACGCACUCUGCUGUUCCCCAGCUCUGGGCCCAUGUCCUUCUGUCCUUCUUAAAAACAUGCUUUCUCCCCACCUUCGCCUGAACAACUUCUACUCAUUCAUCAAGACUGAACUGGGACAGAGAUGACAUAGGCAACCUUCUUGGACCCGCAUCCGCCAUAUCGUAUGACAACUGUCUCCUCAUGUGCUGGUUUUCACCACUAGACUGAGUCUCAUGAAGACAACUGAGGGUGUCUUCUUCAUCUUUGUACCUCCAGCACCUACCACGGUUUCAGGAACAUAAUAGUCAUUCCGAGCUCAAAUAAAUGGGCAUCCGUUUCUUCCAGGGUAAUCACAUGUUUUUCAUAUUUGACCCAAGAAUUUGGACACUGUGAACCCCGGCCAGUUCUUGCUAUAUAUGAGCAAGAGAUCUGCAUUCUCCAGAUUCUGGAGAAAGUGAAGUCAUCUCCUUAACGAUGGCUCAGAAUUGACUUUUCAGCCUCUCUCUGCAGCCAACACUGGGCUCUUUGGCAAGACAGCACUGCAACCAGCCUAUCAGAGUUCCAUUUCUGGUCACUGCAGAUACUUUAAUUUCUACCCUAGGACAGAAACCACCAUUUGACUGGUGGACAUUUAAUGGAUUAGGUGGUGCUUCAGAGAGAGCUUUUCCCCCAAGUAUCCAUCUUUCAUGGUGUCCAGAAAGCCUUCAAAGUAGGUCAAGUGCACAAAAAUGUACAAAUAUGGUGCCUGCUUAUUCAUUGAACUGAAAAUCUACUAUCCUCUCUCUUUCCAGCCUGGAACUGGGUGAGUUAUAUUUAAGUCUCCAGCCUCGCCCUGAAUAUAGCUCACUCUAAAAGGAUAACCAAAGAGGGAAAAACUAACACAGACCUAUGAAAAUCAAUGUAACAUAAGAGGAGAAAAAUGGCCCAAUAUUCUAGAGUAAGAUAUAGAGUUUUCCCCUUUCGAUGUGGAUCUUUUUGGGUAUGGAAUAAAAACAUUUUUAGAAGCGA